AACGACUUGUGCAAGGAUUCGGUUUGUCAAAGCUAAAAAAGUUAAAAGAAAAGAAAAGAAAAUGUUUCCCAUUUCCGUGUUACCGUCUCUGCUGCGGAAGUUUUAUUGGUGCAGCGAUCGCAGCGAUCAAACUUGUAGUCGAAGAAGGGUACUGGACACCGUUUCACCACUGAGACCGCAAAACUUAAAAAAAGUAAAAUAAAAUAAAGCCCCAAAAGCGAUGCAACCACAGAGGGCGGAAUACUCACGGGACCCCUCCGGCCAUCCAUUCCCAGAAACCGACGGCCUGCCGCCUAGAUCUUCAACCUCCGUCCAUCAAUUGCCGGAACAAAGCGACUGGUUGUGGUGUU
rnacentral:lncRNA from 1 species